UUAAGCAAAUAAAGUUACGAAAUAUAUUGUGGAGAAAUAUCCGUCCAUCUCUUGUGAAUUCAACAAAUAUUAUCUUGACAUCACGAGGCGAUUACGAAAAAAAAAAAAAAAUAACCAGACAAAAAUAGAAUCAUCUAUUCGUGGGAAGCUGUCUAUUUCCAAUAUGACAGGAUGUUUCGAGAGAGACCUAUGGUUGAAACUGGGGAGAUACAUCAAUUUUUCUUUUGAAUUCACGACGAUGAAAUCCCUGUCGAGGAAACGUUUUUUACCUCAUCGUAAUCCAGUAUGAAGUGGGUAAAUAAGAACUCCAUUUUCCCUCAUCAAUUAUGCAAUUCGCACGUUCAAUUAUAAAACAGAAGCCGUGAUAAUUUAAUAUUUUUAAAAACUUUGAUGAUGAAUGAUUGUUUGCGGUGCAACUGAAACCAGGCACGAAAAAACGCCUGUUAUUUAUGGAAUGGCCUAACAUUUUCCUAUAAAGCGAGAUAGCACGUGAGAGGGAUCGAGGGAAGUAAGUUAAUUUUUCUCCGACAAAAGUGGCAAGUCUUUCCUCCCUUGGUGUUUUAUCAUUCAGAUCGCCCUCAAGAAGAAACAAAGUUGUUGAAGAAACCCCUGACCCGGGGUUACAAUUUAUGCAACUUUAAUUCGGCCGCAACAAUUUUUUUUAAUCGGAUUAAGAAGAGGGAGAUGGGGAAGUUAAGUUUUGGCGCGCGGCGAGACGCGUAUAACGGGAAUUUAUGUUUCUCCAGAAGUGUUUUACCAUUUUUAUAGCCUCUCGAGAAACACCUGCGCCGAUCUAACGAAUGCAAGAUUGAAUAACAAAUCCGGAGCUUGACGCGGAGCUUCACACCCCCGGGGAAACCGAAUUGUCCACGUACCUUGGUGAUCUGUAACAAGAAAACA